rnacentral:tRNA from 1 species
GCCCGGAUGGUGGAAUUGGUAGACACGACGGACUUAAAAUCCGUUGACUUUUAAGUCUUGAGGGUUCAAGUCCCUCUCCGGGUACCA